GAUAAACGCUGGCGGCGUGCCUAAUGCAUGCAAGUCGAACGGGCGUUCUUUCGGGAACGUGACCGUGGCGGACGGGUGAGGAGCACGUGGCUGACCUGCCCUGGUGUGGGGGAUAGUCUCCGGAAACGGAGCGUAAUACCGCAUAAUCUCAAGUAGGGGGACCUGUUUGAGGAAAGCCGCGAGGCGUACCAGGAGGGGGCUGCGUCCGAUUAGCUAGUUGGUGGGGUAACGGCUCACCAAGGCGANGAUCGGUAGCUGGUCUGAGAGGACGAUCAGCCACACGGGGACUGAGACACGGCCCCGACUCCUACGGGAGGCAGCAGCAAGGAAUUUUCCACAAUGGGCGCAAGCCUGAUGGAGCAACGCCGCGUGGGGAUGACGCACUUCGGUGUGUAAACUCCUUUUCGAGGGACGAAGGCAAUGACGGUACCCUCGGAAUAAGGAUCGGCUAACUACGUGCCAGCAGCCGCCGCGGUAAC
rnacentral:rRNA from 1 species